GCAUUGUGCGCGAAGCGGAUAUCCGCCACUCCGCCUGACACUAGGUCUCAACCUCUGUUGAUUUGAGCAGGUGAGCAAAGUCUCAGGUGUUGUGGCGGCCUUCAUCCAUCCUUCGCAGCCGUU
rnacentral:precursor_RNA from 9 species